rnacentral:rRNA from 1 species
UACGUAGGGAGCAAGCGUUGUCCGGAAUUACUGGGCGUAAAGGGUGCGUAGGCGGCAGCUUAAGUCAGAUGUGAAAUGCCGGGGCUCAACUCCGGAGCUGCAUCUGAUACUGGGCCGCUAGAGUGCAGGAGAGGAAAGUGGAAUUCCUAGUGUAGCGGUGGAAUGCGUAGAUAUUAGGAGGAACACCAGUGGCGAAGGCGACUUUCUGGACUGUAACUGACGCUGAGGCACGAAAGUAUGGGGAG